AAAUCCUAUUGCGGCUCCCCAUUACGUGACCCAAACCCCUAACACAGUCUCAAAUCAAGCCUGUUUGGAGAAAGUAAAAAAAUCUGGAGAAAACAUAAAGAAUCGAAUGCGCGAAGAAGAAGAAGGCUAAUAUGAUUGAAAGCGACACCCAAAAGAUCGAUAAGGAGAAGGUUAAUUGAAAGCUGGAGAAGAUUUAGACAUGGCCGACAACGUGCUCGAAGUGAAAAACAAAGGAUGGAGAUGAAAUCCCUCAUUACGGAUGUUUGGACUGAAUUGGGCCAUCCUUGUGGGAUACAUCAAAAGCAGGUAUUGUUGAUGUGAUGUCUAAAUGCCAAGUUGCUUGGGUCGUCCUUCUGGUAGAGUUAUACGUUUUGCAUGAGGUAAAUAAUUGCACGCACAAGAUUACACCAAGUACAAAGUGGGAGCAUGUAAAGGAAAUUCUUAGGGAUUGUGGUCGAGCUGCCAUCCACACACAAGGUUCUACAAGCAAUCCGUUUGGAUCUACUUUUGUACAUGGUUAACAAAACAUUGCACUUGAGGUGAUGAAGAAUGGUUACAUUGCAACAGUGAGUCUCUUUCAGUCAUGACGGUGAUAAAAUGGUUGAAUUGAAGGCAUCCAGAAAAGCUGUUGCUGCCAGAACUUCUACCUGUACCAAAGUUGCUGCUGCCACAAAUUCUAAGUCCACCAAAGCUGCUGCCACUGCCACAUCUACCUCAACAACCACAAGGCCUCCUACAUCCGGUAAAGUAUCAAAGGACCAAGCUCCAACACCUUCCAGAUCAUCUCAGAGGAUUAGGCAGAAUUCCAAACAAGGGGGAAAGUAAGAGGAACUUUGAGGAAUGAUAAGCAAGCCUAACAUUUUUCAUUUUUUUGUGCAACCUUGGUGUGUGCUACCUAGGUUGCUGGCUCUAAUUUGUUGGGAGGAUGAUUAGAGCUAUUUGAAAGGCAAACAUUUGGGCUGCUUAUUUUUUGGGUAUUUUAAGAAUGAUGUUGUUAAACUUCAAAUGAAGAGUGGGUGUUGCUUUCGGAAUCAAUAGCAGAUUAGUACUUUGCAAUG